rnacentral:rRNA from 1 species
GACGAACGCUGGCGGCGUGCUUAACACAUGCAAGUCGAACGGAAAGGCCCUGCUUUUGUGGGGUGCUCGAGUGCCGAAGGGGUGAGUAACACGUGAGUAACCUGCCCUUGACUUUGGGAUAACUUCAGGAAACUGGGGCUCAUACCGGAUAGGAGCUCCUGCUGCAUGGUGGGGGUUGGUAAGUUUCGGCGGUUGUGGAUGGACUCGCCGCUUAUCAGCUUGUUGGUGGGGUAGUGGCUUACCAAGGCUUUGACGGGUAGCCGGCCUGAGAGGGUGACCGGCCACAUUGGGACUGAGGUACGGCCCAGACUCCUACGGGAGGCAACAGUGGGGAAUAUUGCAGAAUAGGCGGAAGCCUGAUGCAGCAACGCCGCGUGCGGGAUGACGGCCUUCGGGGGGUAAACCGCUUUCGCCUGUGACGAAGCGUGAGUGACGGUAAUGGGUAAAGAAGCACCGGCUAACUACGUG